rnacentral:rRNA from 1 species
ACCCCUAGAUGUUCUGGGCCGCACGCGCGCUACACUGAACAGUUCAACAAGUCUUAACCUUGGCCGAUACGUCUGGGUAAUCUUUGAACGCUGUUCGUGAUUGGGAUAGACCUUUGCAAUUAUGGGUCUUCAACGAGGAAUUCCUAGUAAACGCAAGUCAUCAGCUUGCAUUGAUUACGUCCCUGCCCUUUGUACACACCGCCCGUCGCACCUACCGAUUGAAUGGUCCGGUGAAAUCUCGGGACGGCGGCUUGGUCGCUUGCGUCCGACUGCUGAAACUUGAUUAAACCAUAUCAUUUAGAGGAAGGUGAAGUCGUAACA